GAUGAACGCUAGCGGCAGGCUUAAUACAUGCAAGUCGAGGGGCAGCAUGAUUGUAGCAAUACAAUUGAUGGCGACCGGCAAACGGGUGCGGAACACGUACACAACCUUCCAAUAAGUGGGGAAUAGCCCAGAGAAAUUUGGAUUAAUACCCCGUAACAUAACGAUGUGGCAUCACAUUGUUAUUAUAGAUUUUUCGCUUAUUGAUGGGUGUGCGGCUGAUUAGAUAGUUGGCGGGGUAACGGCCCACCAAGUCUACGGUCAGUAGCUGAUGUGAGAGCAUGAUCAGCCACACGGGCACUGAGACACGGGCCCGACUCCUACGGGAGGCAGCAGUAAGGAAUAUUGGACAAUGGACGCAAGUCUGAUCCAGCCAUGCCGCGUGAAGGAUUAAGGUCCUCUGGAUUGUAAACUUCUUUUAUAAGGGACGAAAAAAGGUCUUUCUAGAUCGUCUGACGGUACCUUAUGAAUAAGCACCGGCUAACUCCGUGCCAGCCGCCGCAGUAAAAC
rnacentral:rRNA from 1 species